ACGUAUGAGGCAAGCGUUGUUCGGAAUUAUUGGGCGUAAAGGGCGUGUAGGCGGGGAGCUAAGUUAGAUGUGAAAUCCAUGGGCUUAACUCAUGAACUGCAUUUAAUACUGGCUCUCUUGAGUUCGGGAGAGGUAAGCGGAAUUCCCGGUGUAGCGGUGAAAUGCGUAGAUAUCGGGAAGAACACCAGUGGCGAAGGCGGCUUACUGGCCUAGAACUGACGCUAAGGCGCGAAAGCGUGGGGAGCGAACGG
rnacentral:rRNA from 1 species